UUUGCCGCCCCGAGCGAAAGCCAUAUUAUUUUAACGGCCUCUCGUGUUUGGCCAAACGCUAAGGUUGCAGUAGAAAAACGAAGGCUGCCGCACCAGAGAUAAGACAGCAGGAGAAGAUCACAAGGGGAGCUCAACGUGCGUUUGUAUAACCUGUGUAUGGACAACCGUCGCCGAUGUCGGGGAGAUUAAGGUGUAUAAAUAUUGCGCACAGGAGGUACCGGAGAUGGACUUCACCCAGAAUAUCCUCACCUUGAACCUCAGAGCUCCUGAUGUUCGUGGAUAUAUGCCAUGAGAGGACGGUAGAGUAAAGGCAGUAGGAAGUUCGGCCGCGGCAGUAUCAGAUGAAACAAGAACACAGCACUUUGUGCACAUGCCAGGGGGCUGGAACAGCAAAGACAACACGCAGAGAGAAGGUAAACACAACAACAAAGGACACCUCACCACAAAAACUCACUGUGACUCAACUCAUGGCCAAGGUACAGAAACUACAACGGGCCAUUAUCAGUUUUUGUGUGAGCACAGGACCUGGCAAUGAGCAGCUGAUGCAAAUCUUUUAUGAACAAAAUGCAAUGUGAUUUCCCAAAGAACUUACCUGAGCUCAACUGCUGUCAAAAUAAUAUCAUAAAUCCUAAAGUCAAAUAAUGUAAGAAUAGAAUAUUGUUGAAGGACAUGAGAGGACUCAUUACGUCGGGUGCUUCAAUAUCAGUGUGUUCACCUCAGAGUGAAAAAUCUCCCUUGUACCAGCAAUGCUCUGUCCAGUUCCUCAUUACUUUGUAUCAUUAUGUUACGUCACUCUUUGGUAUUAAAGUUAUUUUCUUUCAAAUAUUCA